CCUACGGGAGGCAGCAGUAGGGAAUUUUGCACAAUGGGCGCAAGCCUGAUGCAGCAAUACCGCGUGAGUGAAGAAGGCCCUUGGGUUGUAAAGCUCUUUCGGCCAGGAAGCGGUACUGGAAGAAGAAGCACCUGCUAACUACGUGCCAGCAGCAGCGGUAAUACGUAGGGUGCAAGCGUUGUUCGGAAUUACUGGGUGUAAAGCGCGCGUAGGCGGGUUUGAAAGUCGAUUGUGAAAUCCCUAGGCUUAACCUGGGAAUUGCAGUCGAAACUCCAAAUCUUGAAUGUCUGAGAGGAUGGCGGAAUAACCGGUGUAGUAGUGAAAUACGUAGAUAUCGGUUAGAACACCUGAGGCGAAGGCGGCUAUCUGGCGGUAAUUGACGCUAAGGCGCGAAAGCGUGGGGAGCAAACAGGAUUAGAUACCCUUGUAGUC
rnacentral:rRNA from 1 species